rnacentral:rRNA from 1 species
AUUGAACGCUGGCGGCAUGCCUUACACAUGCAAGUCGAACGGCAGCACGGGGGCAACCCUGGUGGCGAGUGGCGAACGGGUGAGUAAUGCAUCGGAACGUGCCCAGUAGUGGGGGAUAACCCGGCGAAAGCCGGGCUAAUACCGCAUACGACCCAAGGGUGAAAGCGGGGGACCGUAAGGCCUCGCGCUAUUGGAGCGGCCGAUGUCUGAUUAGCCAGUUGGCGGGGUAAGAGCCCACCAAGGCGACGAUCAGUAGCUGGUUUGAGAGGACGACCAGCCACACUGGGACUGAGACACGGCCCAGACUCCUACGGGAGGCAGCAGUGGGGAAUUUUGGACAAUGGGCGCAAGCCUGAUCCAGCCAUGCCGCGUGCGGGAAGAAGGCCUUCGGGUUGUAAACCGCUUUUGGCAGGAACGAAACGGCGCAAGCCAAUACCUUGCGCUAAUGACGGUACCUGCAGAAUGAGCACCGGCUAACUACGUGCCAGCAGCCGCCGUAACAC